AUUUCUGAGUUUGAGGCCAGCCUUGUCUAUAAAGUGAGUUCCAGGACAGCCAGGGCUAUACAGAGAAACCCUGUCUCAAAAAAAAAAAAAAAAAAAAAAGACCAAAAAAACAAAAAAACCCACAGACAGAACAAAUAAUGUACUCCAAAUAAAAAAUAACGACAAGAUGCUAAGAGGAGCAAAGGCCCAAGGGAAGAUGGCAACUGGGCCCCAGCUGUCAUAAAGAGACCAAGAGGCCUGGUCUGAAGAAAGUCUAAGAGUGCUGGCCCUGGAGAAGACAUCCAGCCCAAAGCACGGCCCACACCUGCUCUGUGGGCUACAGCAGUCAGAGCUAUUCUCUGCACUCAGCUGCAAACACCUCCUGCCAUUCAUUCACCAGGUCACCUUCCCAAGUGCUCAGGCUGGUCUCCGAGGACAGAGACUAAGCAAGGGAAGCUGCAGAGACUGAUGUAUGGGGUGAGGAGAGUGGCUUGUAAAACAGAAGUCUCCAUAGGAAGCCACCGGGCUGCCUUAGCGUCUCACACUGAGAACAGGGCUCAGCUGGUGCUGACAGCACACAGGCUAUCUUCCCGCUGCCCACACCGUAAGAUGGGUGCUUUCUAAGCACGCUAUCACCGGGAAGGCCAGAUGGAUAUCUAGUACACCAGAAGACUGUACCAUCACUGCCACCACUGCCUUCACACAGGCCACAAUGAGGUCACCAGCACUAGAGGGCCACGUUCCUUGUCCAAAGGCUGUAAGACUUGACUAAGCCACAUUAAAUGUGUGGUCUACACAAAAGUACAAGUUCUCCGAGGUAACUAAGAUGUAAGAAGCAACAGGACCAGGAGCAAAAGCCAGGUGUGCAAAUCAAAUCCCACUGGGAGACAGAGGCAGGAGGAUGUCUGUGAAAGUUCCAGGUCAGCCUGGUCUAUAUAGACCUUCCAGGCCAGAACUACAAAGAGUGUCCCAAAAUAACAACAGCAGUCUGCAGCAAACUGACCAACACUGAAGACAAGGCCAGGUCACAGAGCCUCGGAGCUGGGCAUGGUGGGACACACACAGCCUCAGCCCUCUGAGAAUGGAGGCAGGACAUUGAGGGCUUGAGAUCAGUCUGGGCUGUAAUACAAGACCCAAUCUCAAGAAAACAACAAAAAGAAACCUGGUAGUUUGGGAUAAUUUUCCAGGAUCAGGGAGGCGACUUGAAAUUAGGGGGCUGGAGAGAUGGCUUCAUAGUUAAGAUCACUAUUGCUCUUGCAGAAGGCCUGGGUUCUGACCCCAGCACCCAUGUGACAGAUCAUAACAUAAACACCUGUGACUCCAGUCCCAGGGGAUCUGAUGCCCUCUGCUGGCCUCUGUGGGCACUGCACGCAUGUGGUGAACACUCGGACACAUAUCGUUCAGGUUGAGCCUCCACCCCAGACAAAUGGUGACAACUGGUGGGUGCCUGCAUUCCCCCAGAGUCUGUUGUUUGUAACGUGGGAGGGGAAGCGACAGAGCUCAAGAUGUUCACAUCUACCUGCAGGAGGUUCCGCUUGCUCCUGCCGUAAACUGCAAACACUACCUGAACACCAACCUUUGAAUGCUUUCAUCCCGGAUCUAGAUCAGCAGUUCUCAGCCUGUGGGUACUGAGCCCCUCAGGGUCACAGACCAGAUAUCCACUACAUUACGAUUCAUAACAGGACCAAAAUUUCAGUAUGAAGUAGCAACAAGAAUAAUGUUAUGGUCAGGGGUCACCACAGCACGAGGAACUGUGUUAAAGGGUCACAGCGUUAGGAAGGUUGAGAGCCAUGGUUCAAGAUCUUGUCCAGAACACCAAGGACGGGCAGACACACUGUGGUCACAAUCACCCCUAGCACUCAGACCAGCAUGCACAAACAUCACUUUCCAUUUAAAGAACCUGGGAUGUAGAGAGAACCUCCUGUGUAGUGUAUGGCUACAUCACCGACCAAUAAAAAUAAAUAGAUAAAUACCCCUAUGGCCAAUAGGAAAGUGCUGAAUAGAAGGGUAUCUAUCCCAUAAGCAGAAAGGAUUCUGGGAUAGAGCCAAGCACUGAAGAUUCAUCCCUGGACACAAAGGAGGAAAAUUCAUGAGAGCUGAGCAGAGGUGACCAGCCACAUGACAGAGUUUAGAUUAAACAGAAUAUUAAGUUAUGAGCUAGUCAAAGAGCGAGCCAAAGCUAUGGCCAAGGUGUCUGUAAACAUAACAAAGGUUCAGAGACACUAUUUCUGAGAACAGGGAUGCAGCUUACAAUAAACACCCCACAAUACUGGGGAUGGGUGGGGGUGGGGUGGGGGGUACGGAAACAGCCAAUUCAAAGGCUAGCAGAGGUGCCUUAAAAACAGGGUAAAUGGAAGAAUCUGAUGCUUACUGCCCCGUCCUAUUCCAUCUGGAAUACCAGGCAACUGAACAGAUGGUGCAGUGCCCUGCAAAAUUUGGCUCAACUUAGAAAACAGAAAAGCAGCAGCUACGAGAGCCACUCUGGGCUCCUUUACUGAGUCACCAGGUGUAGGAACAACGCUUCAAUAGCUGUGCAGACCCAAGAGGACAGAACCACAAGUGCCUUGUGGACCUACAUAAACUUCAGGAUCUGCACAUUUGCACCAAAUCCAGACCAGGGCCCUGACCUGCUCCAGAAGGACUGUCAGCAAAAUGCAGACUGCUGAAAAGCAUGGGUCAGAAAACCAGCGCUCUACAUCAGCCGCCCUGGAAGAACGGCGACAGGACAGACAGACUUAAAAGCUGCUGUGCUGUUUUUAAACUGCAAUGCCCAGCUGGUGUUUAGAGAGGCCCACGUGAGUGAGUAGCAUCUUACAGGAAGAGACACGUGUGACCUGAAGGGUGUGAAGGAGGGAAUGUGGGAGGUAGGGUAAGAAGCCACCUGGCCCCCUCCAUCCACCUACUGCUAGUGUUUUUGUGGAAGUUGUCUUGAAAGGUAAAGGUCAGCAAGGCUGGCAACAAAGAAACACAUCAAACCCGUCUCUUCCACAGCAGUUGGGACUCUCAGCUGCAGGCCCUGGCAGCAGGUCUAACCUGUGCUCCUUUCCAGUAAGUAGCAAGCAUAUCCAUUCAUUAGUCACUAAUCUAGCAAGCACACACACAGAAGGCACACACACAGAAGGCACACACACAGAAGGCACACACACAGAAAGCACACACACAGAAGGACUCCUUUACUGGAAGCAUAUUCAAUAUGCUUUCAGCUGCCAAAAGCCCACGAGGAAAAUGUUUAAAUACUACAGUCCAGGAACUAAUUUGUCUAUGUAAACUAUUCCACUAAUAAAGCAUCGUAAGCAG
rnacentral:lncRNA from 1 species